AACGAACGCUGGCGGCAUGCCUAAAACAUGCAAGUCGAACGAGACCUUCGGGUCUGGUGGCGCACGGGUGCGUAACGCGUGGGAACCUGCCCUUAGGUUCGGAAUAACUCCCGGAAAGGGGUGCUAAUACCGGAUAAUGUCUUCGGACCAAAGAUUUAUCGCCUUUGGAUGGGCCCGCGUUGGAUUAGCUAGUUGGUAGGGUAAAAGCCUACCAAGGCGACGAUCCAUAGCUGGUCUGAGAGGAUGAUCAGCCACACUGGGACUGAGACACGGCCCAGACUCCUACGGGAGGCAGCAGUGGGGAAUAUUGGACAAUGGGCGAAAGCCUGAUCCAGCAAUGCCGCGUGAGUGAUGAAGGCCUUAGGGUUGUAAAGCUCUUUUACCCGGGAUGAUAAUGACAGUACCGGGAGAAUAAGCUCCGGCUAACUCCGUG
rnacentral:rRNA from 1 species